rnacentral:lncRNA from 1 species
UUUUUUUUUUUUUUUUUGGGUCUUUUUGCUAUUUAUUGGGCUGCUCCCGCUUGGCAUAUGGAGGUUCCCAGGCUAGGGGUCGAAUUGGAGCUGUAGCUGCCGGCCUACGCCAGAGCCACAGCAACGCAGGAUCGGAACCGCGUCUGCAACCUACACCACAGCUCACGGCAACGCCGGAUCGUUAACCCACUGAGCAAGGCCAGGGAUGGAACCCGCAACCUCAUAGUUCCUAGUCGGAUUCGUUAACCACUGCGCCACGGCGGGAACUCCCAGAAGAAGGUUCUUAAGAGAAUUUGUGGUGGUUCUUUAAUUUACCUUGUUUUAAGUGCAUUUCUUAUGGUUCAGUCAUCCUCCAAGUGCGAGGCCUAGCUCAUCAGCAUUCCUGGGGAACUUGUUAGAGAUGCAAAUUCUUGGCCUACCUAACUAGAAAUUCUGGGAGUGGAGCCCAGCCAAGCCCCCAUCCCACGCAAUCCUGAUGCAAACUAAAAUUUGAGGUCCAAUCUGAUUUAGUAACUGUCAACCCUCACUGUACCUGACAGCCACCUGGAAAACUUUUGCAACUGAUAGUUUUUAGGACUCAUCCUGGGAGCUUCUUUGUCCUACGAGAGAGAACAUUGCAUCACCACUAAAAGUGAAAGAUUUAUAGUUUCAUGGCAGAGAAAUGGAAAGCUGUAUAUACAGGAAUACCUCCAUCAGCGUGCUUUGUCCUGUCUUUCCUAAACUCUGCAGGGGAUCUGUAUCCCUAAUUUCUGGACUGGUUGGCUGGUGUUUUGUGUAUAGACUCCAGAAAGUUAACUCCUAAGAGUUCAUUUCAUUCAUUAGUGAAGCCCAGGUUCUGUGUGCUCCACUCACUAUCUCUAACCUCUCUGAGCCUCUGUUUCCUAUUCCGUAAAAUGGGAAUGUGAGAAAACAUUGUGAAGAUUAAAUAAUAAAUAAGAUCAAAAUGCUCAAGAUAUCCAAAUCCCUUUUCCAAAUACUUUCUAAUUCUAUCCCCAGUAAUAAAAUCAUCCAUCAAAUCUUUUUUUUUUUUUUUCCCUGCUUCCACAGCAUAUAGAAGUUCCUGGGCUAGGGAUUGAAUCCAAGUUGCAGCUGCAACAUUUGCCACAGCUGUGGCAAUGCCAUAUCCUUAACUCACUGCUGUGGGCUGGGAGCCAACCCAUGCUGAAGCAGUGACCCAAGCCACUGUAGAGACAGAGCCAGAUCUUCAACCUGCUGUGCCACUGCGGGAACUUCCCCCAAUUUUUUUUUUUUUUUUUUUUUUUUUUUUGUCUUUUCAGGGCUGCACCUGAGGCAUAUGGAAGUUCCCAGGCUAGGGGUCUAAUUGGAGUUGUAGCUACUGGCCUGGCCACAGCCACAGCAACACAGGAUCCUUAACCCACUGAGUGAGUCUGGGGAUCGAACCCGCAACCUCAUGGUUCUUAGUCGGGUUUGUUUCUGCUGCGCCACGACGGGAACUCCCCAAAUCUGUUUUUAAAAAUUUUUAUCGAAAUACAGUUGAUUUACAAUGUUGUAGUUUUAGAUACACAGUAAAGUGAUUUAGUUACACAUACACAAGUAUAGUCUUUUUUUUACAUUCUCUUCCAUUAUAGGUUAUUACAAGAUAUUCAAUAUAGUUCCCUGUGCUGUAUAGUAGGACCUAGUUUUUUAAAUCUGUUUUUUAAUGUCUAGUAAUAUGUAUAUUUUAAUCCUAAUCUCCUAAUUUAUCCCUCUCUUCCCCACCCCACCCUUUGGCAACCUUAAGUUUGCUUUCUAUGUCUGUGAGUAGUCUAUUUAUGUUUCUAAAUAAGUUUAUUUGUAUCCUUUUUUUAGAUUCCACAUAUAAGUGAUACCAUAAAUUUGUCUCUGGUUUACUUCGCUUAGUAUGAUGAUCUCUAGGUCCAUUCAUGUUGCUGCAAAUGGCAUUUCAUUCUUUUUUUUGUGGCUGAGUAAUAUUCCAUUGCAUAUAUGUAUAUACCACAUCUUUAUUCAUCCGUUAAUGGACCCUUAAGUUGCUUCCAUGUCUUGGCUUUUAUCAAGUAUAUUAUCACAUUUUUUAAAAUUGCUUUUUAGGGCCACGCCUGCACUCCGUUUCGACCCCUAGUCUGGGAACUUCCGUAUGCUACAGGUGCAGCCCUGAAAAGAAAAAAAAAAAUGAAGCAUCAGAAUUGAGAUGUGCUAUAAAUGUAUAGGAUGUUGAAGACUUAGUAUGAAAGAAAAAAUAAAUAUAAGGAUGUAAAAUAUCCCUUUGAUAAUUUUCAUGUUGGUUUCAUGUUGAAAUGCUAUGAUACUAUUUUGGUUAUAUUGGGUUGUAUGAAACAUGGAUUUUGUCUGUUUCUCUUUAUAUUUUAAAGGUGGUUAUUGAGAAAUAUAAAAUGUGGCUUGCAGUAUGUUUCUCUUGAACAGUGCUCUAAUAGUGCUAAUGACAUUAGUGUCUGAUGACACUAGCAAGAAAUAGCAAAAUUGAAAAAGCAAGCCACACACCUGUAGGACAAGUAAAAUGAUGAAACUGUGGUCCCCCAAGUCAUUUCUUUACAUUAGCACAACCAGCUCUGUCUUCAUGUGUGGGAAGCCUGUUGAAUUCGUCUUCGUGAGACCAGUUUAUAGCCCUUCUCCUUUUUUGCUUUUGAUGUGUGCUAAGAACCUCUGUGUUUGAAAAAGUGAUAGCCUACCAUUUGCUCCCUGAACUUAAGAGGAAUUUGAGCUGUGGCUGCUGGUUUAGCCCCACUGAUUUCAAUAUGGAGCAUCUCCAUGAAAUGCAUUUUUUAAAUACUGUGAUUUUGGCCUUUGUAUGUUUUUCUGUUAAGUGUCCUGUUAGCAGAGGAAUGUAAUUGUUCUGCCCCAGCGUUUUUUUCCUCUGUCCAUACAAGGGAGUUACCAGUCUUGGAAUUCAGAUUUAUAACCACUUCCUUGUUUUUCUAAUGCCUCCUAAUAUACUUUUAAAAAGGGACUUGACCUUCACAUAAUUCAUCCUUUUCCUUGAAAUGGCGAGUCGCCCACUUUGGCAGCCUUGGCUUUGAAUGACCUAUGGAACUCUUGUAUCUUCCCAUAUUGAAAGUUGCUUUUUAAACUGAGCACAGUGAAAAUUUCUUAUAUGGAAACGUAAAUACAGUAUCAUGCAAAGAUUAUUUUCUGCCUUUAUACAGCUUUGUCAUAUUUGGGGGGUCCUUACUCAGAAUAUCUCUGGCUGAGUAAUGGGUUUGAGGCUGAUACUUAGACACUUAUGUCGACAUUUUAUUUACCUUAUUUAUUCAUUUGUGUCUUUUUAGGGCCACACCCGAGGCAUAUGGAGGUUCCCAGGCUAGGGGUCGAAUCGGAGCUGUAGCUACUGGCCUACACCACAGCCCCAGCAACAGCAACACAGGAUCCUAGCCGUGUCUGUGACCUGCACCACAGCUCACGGCAAUGCCAGAUUCUUAACCCACUGAGUGAGGCCAGGGAUGGAACCCGCAUCCUCAUGGAUCCUAGUCGGUUUGUUAACCACUGAGCCGUGAAGGGAACUCCCCUAGGUUGACAUUUUAAAGACACUUGAGCCAUGGAGUUUUGAGCUUGUGGAGGAAAUUUUUUUCAUUUCAGAGCAUCAUUCUCGGAGUUCCCAUUGUGGCUCAGUAGCUUAAGAACCCGACUGGUAUCCAUGAGGACUCGGGUCUGAUCCAUGGUCUCCCUCAGUGGGUUAAGGAUCUGGUAUUGCCGAGAGCUAUGGGUGUAGGUCACAGACUCGGCUUGGAUCCCAUGUUGCCGUGGCUGUGGCAUAGACCGGCAGCUAUAGCUCCGAUUCGGCACCUAGCCUGGGAAGCUCCAUCCAUAUGCAGCAGGUGCACCCCUGAAAAGAAAGAAAAACAAAAGAACGUCAUUUGUGUUGGUGUUUUGCCUGUUGUAUCAAGCCUGAGGUACCUCAGGCUUUUUAGAUCUGUGUAGUGCGUGCUUUGUCCAUGGUUCUUAUUACAGCAGAAAUGCCAGGUUAUCUGCUCCAUCUUAUGGGUGCAGGGGUAAUGCUUGUGUCCCUCUGGAUAUGCAACACAUGGUUCUUUGACCUUGAACUUGGGUGCUGCGAGUUACGUGUCAUGAGACAUAUCCUCUUUCCACUCCAGGAAAGCUUUUCAUCGUCUUAACAAGAGGCAGUAACUCAACACUUCCAGCUCUCACUGCCCCCCUCCCCAAUUAUAGCAUAUUAAGAGAUGAUAAAUAUGCAAAACUUGAGGCCAGAGAGGCAAAGAGGUUGGCUCAGUGUUUUACUGUUUCUUGUGAAUGGCGUCAGGACUUGGCAGCCAAUUUUGUGGACAGAACUGCGGGCUCUGUUUCCUGAUCUCAACUCUGCCAGUUACAUGCGUGAGGCUCCUGCAAGUCCGUUCACCCUCUUGGCUUUCCACAUGGGUAAAAUAAGAUGCUCUCAAAAGUCUCAUUAAGCUUUAAAGUUCUGUAUUUCCUGUUCAGGUCUCUUUCCAACCCCCUGUGCUCGCAUUCAUCUCUUCAUCCGCUGGUAAUUGCUUCUGUAAGAGAGUCGGAAUGCAGUACAUUUAUUUUUUACUGGAGUGGUGCAAGGUCCCACGGGCUUCUGGAAGAAAGGGAUAUACCUCUUAAUUGAAGUGUGUUCAGGUCUCUCGCAGAACCUCGUCAGAAUGUACCUUCUUCUUACUCUUACCCAUGGCGUUUCUUGUAAUCGCUACUAAUUAAGAACAAACAGAAGGGAAAGAAUGUGAUCCUAUUAUAUAGAGAGAUUAUAAUGACCUUCUUUUGAAAUAUGCAGGUCUUUUUUUUCCACAUUUCCUUAAGCACAGAGCAGAGCUGUAGACAGGAAAUCUCUGUCUCUGACCUCUCCAAGGGGAAAAUCAAAGCUUUGAAAAAGUGAAAGAAGAAAAUAAUUGAGGUAGGAAGAGAAAGAGAAAGGAAGAGAAAGGCUCUUUAUAGGUCUGCUGUAUUUAUGAAUGUUUUAUUUCUCAAGUGGAGUAAGGAAAGGUUAUCUGGUCAAGAAAUUAGGUAGUAUAAAAGCUAAUCUCCUCCUGAGUUUUAUCUAGAUAUACUUAAAGAUAUAAUUUACUGUACUCUUUAGAAGCACAUUUAAAGUAAUAAAACAGCUAAGUAGAAAGCAAUUUAAAUAUUUUUAAGAAGUCUGCAGAGUCCUGAUUGAUCGAAUAAACAUACCAGCUGUUAAACAGUUGUUAACUAAUUACCUUGCAUUCUUCAUCCAAACAAGACCAAAAAAAACUUUUCUUAAAUUUAUUCAGAACAUAUUUCACAGAUGGUGGGCAGCUUUGGAUUUAGAUAUUUAGAUAUUUUGCCAAUUUGCAAUAGUGGGAAUAUCAGUAGCUUAACAAUAACAACAGCAGCAACAAUAAAACUAAGAUAAAAUUUUAUUUUCUGUUAAAACUAUGGAGGGUGGGAUUUGAAUAUGAAAGACUGUUACACCGCAGAUAAAAUUGGAUGUCUGAGAGUCUGCCUGGAGCCAUUUAGUUAAAACAUUGCUAAUCAAAUCAUGAUGGAACAGUUAUUUAGACGGAAAUUUGAUUUUUCUGAAGUCAGCUUUAGAAAGUCUGUGGCUACUUAAUGUCAGUUUCACACAGGAUGGGUUCCUAUUAUUACCAAAUUUUGAAGCCCCCUGCCAGGGUUUGCCAAAAAAAAAAAAAAA